rnacentral:rRNA from 1 species
UGGCGGCGAUAGCGCGGUGGUCCCACCUGACCCCAUGCCGAACUCAGAAGUGAAACGCCGUAGCGCCGAUGGUAGUGUGGGGUCUCCCCAUGUGAGAGUAGGGAACUGCCAGGUU